AAAUUGCAAAAGAAAUUACAAUCUUAAAGAAACCAAAACCUCGUAUUCUCCAAUUAGUCCAAAGAGAAGAGAAAGCCAUCGUGUAGAGUGGAUUUGGAGAUUAAUUGCAGAUUUGGAAUUGAAGAUCUUCUAGAAAAUAUUUUUUUUCUUCGAUAAAGUGAAA
rnacentral:sRNA from 1 species